rnacentral:lncRNA from 1 species
UAUUAACUCUCUAAUGAGCUGUCCACCUUACUAACACAUUUAUCUACUAAUUCUGCACUUCUUGGAAGCUCUCUGGCUCUCCCUCUUCAAUAACUUUGAUAUACUCAUAAUUGGAAUAUCUAGUAGAUAAAUGACGUGUUUUGCUUGACUUUUUAACAUGAGGUUCUUCAACAAUAUGAGGUGGAGGUGGCUGCUCCCCCCUGCUCAAUAUCAUCAUUUACAUUUACUGGUGCUGACACAUAA